CUCCCUCGGCCUUACUCCAGGGGCUUUUUGCUGUAAGGCUCCUGGCAUUGCCGGAGGGUACAUGAACAAGCACGCAUCCCUCCCCAGGGAGACUCUGCUGUUCUCUGGGGCCUACACGUGGAGCUGACAGU
ensembl:snoRNA